UUCAAUAACUUCUAAUGAAUGCUCUAUUUUCGAGGCUUUCCCACCUUUUUGGAGGAAUGCGGGCUCGGGACGCUAACCCUGAGUAACGCCUAUGACUGUACCGGCGCGACCGUCAUGAGCGGGGAAAUUUUGAAGCUCGCCAGCUAUGAUCUCCUAGAUAGCCACUUUCGGGGUGACGAUCAAACAGCCUGGCACUGAG
rnacentral:rRNA from 1 species